UAUGCAAGUCGAACGCGAACGGCUCCUUCGGGAGCUAGUAGAGUGGCAAACGGGUGAGUAACGCGUGGGUAACGUACCCUGAUCCUGGGAAUAACCCUCGGAAACGAGGGCUAAUACCGAAUGUGGCGAACGACCGGUUGGUCGCUCGCUAAAGGUGGCCUCUUCUAUGCUGCCGGGUUGGGAUCGGCCCGCGUCCCAUUAGCUAGUUGGUGAGGUAACGGCUCACCAAGGCCACGAUGGGUAGCCGGCCUGAGAGGGUGUACGGCCACACUGGCACUGAGACAAGGGCCAGUCCCCUAUGGGAGGCGCAGGCGGGAAUAGUUCACAAUGGGCGAAACCUGAUGACGCGACGCCGCGUGAGCAAGAAGACCUUCGGGUUGUAAAGCUCUGUCAGGAGGGAAGAAGGCUCUACGGGUUAAUAGCCCGUGGAAUUGACGGUACCUCCAGAGGAAGCCCCGGCUAAAUACGUGCCAGCAGCCGCGGUAAUACGUAUGGGGCAAGCGUUGUCCGGAUUUACUGGGCGUAAAGGGCGCGUAGGCGGUUUGUUAAGUCGRAGGUGAAAUCCUCGGGCUCAACUCGAGAAUUGCCUUCGAUACUGGCAAACUAGAGUGGCGGAGAGGGAAGSRGAACUCUUGGKGURACGGUGGARUGUGUAGAUAUCAAGAGGRACACCGGKNGCGAAGGCGGCUUUCUUGACGCASACUGACGCUCAGGCGCGRAA
rnacentral:rRNA from 1 species